GAUGAAGAACCGCAGCGAAAUGCGAUACGUAAUGUGAAUUGCAGAAUUCAGUGAAUCAUCGAAUCUUUGAACGCACAUUGCACUCCUUGGUAUUCCGAGGAGUAUGCCUGUUUCAGUAUCAUGAGCACUCUCACAUCUAACCUUUGGGUUAAAAUGUGGAAUUGGGAUGCGCCGGUUAUUAUAACGGCCCUCCUAAAAUUCAGUUCUUGGCUGCUUCCUACUACAGCAGUUUGGCCUAAUAGUUUUGAGUCUUCGAUUCAAAUCUUUGGCUAACAUUUGCUUCAGGAUGUCAGUCUUGAUAUACAGAAAUCUCAUUCAAACUUUGAUCUGAAAUCAGGUAGGGCUACCCGCUGAACUUAAGCAUAUCAAUAAGCGGAGGA
rnacentral:misc_RNA from 1 species